AACGUAGGAGGCGAGCGUUAUCCGGAUUUACUGGGUGUAAAGCGCAUGCAGGCGGUUCGCUAAGUUGGGUGUGAAAGCUCCCGGCUCAACUGGGAGAGGUCGCUCAAGACUGGCGGACUGGAGCGUGGUAGAGGAAGGCGGAAUUCCGGGUGUAGUGGUGAAAUGCGUAGAUAUCCGGAGGAACACCAGUGGCGAAAGCGGCCUUCUGGGCCACGCCUGACGCUCAGAUGCGAAAGCUAGGGGAGCAAAC
rnacentral:rRNA from 1 species